rnacentral:snRNA from 14 species
AUCGCUUCUCGGCCUUUUGGCUAAGAUCAAGUGUAGUAUCUGGUGUAUCUGAAGACAGGUACAGUGUACUUAUAUAAAUAAAUCUUAUUUUAAAACAAAAUAAAAAAAAAAAAACAAAAAAAGAAGUAGCUGGGCUUGCUGCUGGCACAUGGUUGUAACCCACUGCUGGGGAGGUGGACACAGGUGGCUGCUGAGAUUGCUGGCCAGAUGCUCU